rnacentral:rRNA from 1 species
UGGUUAGUCCGCAACGAGCGCAACCCUUAUCCUUGUUGCCAGCGGUCCGGCCGGGAAACGUCAAAGGAGACUGCCAGUGAUAAACUGGAGGAAGGUGGGGAUGACGUCAAGUCAUCAUGGCCCUUACGAGUAGGGCUACACACGUGCUACAAUGGCGCAUACAAAGAGAAGCGAACUCGCGAGAGCAAGCGGACCUCAUAAAGUGCGUCGUAGUCCGGAUUGGAGUCUGCAACUCGACUCCAUGAAGUCGGAAUCGCUAGUAAUCGUAGAUCAGAAUGCUACGGUGAAUACGUUCCCGGGCCUU